rnacentral:rRNA from 1 species
UACGGAGGGUGCAAGCGUUAUCCGGAUUCACUGGGUUUAAAGGGUGUGUAGGCGGGUAUUUAAGUCAGUGGUGAAAUCUCCAGGCUCAACCUGGAAACUGCCAUUGAUACUAUUUAUCUUGAAUACUUUGGAGGUAAGCGGAAUAUGUCAUGUAGCGGUGAAAUGCUUAGAUAUGACAUAGAACACCAAUUGCGAAGGCAGCUUACUACACAGUUAUUGACACUGAGGCACGAAAGCGUGGGGAUCAAACAGG